rnacentral:lncRNA from 1 species
GCCACCUUAGCAUCCAGGUCACAGCAAAGUUCAAGGAACUUAUGGUAAAGAUCAAUCACACUUAUGGCACUGCCAACAGAAGCACAUGCUUGUGGAAAAUAGCGUAAAAGAAUUUUAAGGAGGAGAGCUGGGCUCUGAAUUACACCGGAGGCAGAGCGUCUGGACAGUUUUCAUCAGAAGCCACGUCCUAGAGGUAGCGAGCUGUAAACAGUCGUUAAAAGCAACGGAGGAAUGUGUUAGGGUGGGCCCAGGAAGGUGUCAGGCCACGGCGGGCACGUGAGGGAAUGGGCACAGCCUUCAUUGUAGGCACAGAAGCUGGAGCCAGCGGGAGGAGGCAAGCGGGCAACCGAACAGAAUGAUGAGAAAAACCGAAGCUCAGGGAACAUUUCCAAGACCAAGAGCUGAGAACGCUGCGGAGCUGAAAUUUAAAUCCAGUUUGUCAGACCCCCCCAAUCCGACAUUGUCCCCUCGUCCUGCCAUGGCCCAUAUCCCAGGAGGACCUGUCACCAUCCUCCACCUUGGUGAGACAUUGCCCAAGUUAAUGGGCCCAACAAUAGGGUCAGACUACAUUGCUGCUCCAUUUCCAAGAAAUUCUCCACGUGCAACAUCACAUUUCCUGUAACUCCAGUGCCUCAGGUCUCGACUCAAAGGUCACCUCUUCAGAGAGGCCCCUCCUAAUGAACUUCCUAAGGUGACCCCAUUCAUUCCUUUUCCCAGGUUCUCUGAGGCCUGUCGCUCUCUUAUAUUGUCUUUGCAGCACUCACCCUGACUUGCUGUUCUCUUAUUCCCACAGCCCAGGCUAUCCUAUGGAUGCACUCCUCCCACCAUCUGCUCUCCCAAGCUCUGCUGAAACCCCCCUGCCUAGAACAAUUUGCUUCGUAGCUGACUUUCCAUAAACAUUCAUACAAUGGAUACAGAAAUGACACAGAGGUCAGCAUCAGAACCCAGGAUCCCCCAAAGCCCUGUUUCUCUCUUUCACAGCCUCUCUCUACCUUAUUCCUAUCACCAAGGGAUUCUUCUCUCUUUCCCUCUUUCUACUAUUUGUUAGAAUGGAAAGCACUGGGCCGGUAAAGCUGUCACUCAGGAUAUGAUUUUUUCUCUGCCACUUUCUGGCUGUGUGCUUUUCUUAAAUCAUGGAACUGCAACUGAAAACGCAUGGAUGACAACACAAGGAUUAUUUUAAAGAUUAAAUGAAAUAACUAGGAUGACUGGGCCUGGCAUAUAUUAAGCAUCAAUUAACAUUAAUUGCUUUGCAUCCUUCUCUUUGUUUCUCUCCUCUCCCAUUGUUCCUUCCUUAUAAAUUAAUUCCCUGCCUUUCUCACAAUCUUUACUCCCUACUCAUAAAGCUUCUGCCAGGGUUGUCAGCAGGAUUUAUGUACUUGAAUUGAACUGAGUUAGGUAGGCAUGAAUGAAAGGCAAGUUAUCUCUUUCUAGGGGGAGAAAAAUUUAAGGCAGAGUGAUGUGAGAAGUGUCGACAAGACCCAGGAAAGCCCAGGGAGAGGGGCUGGGGCUAAGGCGUCUGCCCGCUUGGCAGCAGCUGUGAUGUUCGGAGUACGUGUUCAGACCAGCAGUCCCUGAGAUGCUAUUCCACUUAUUCUGGAGACCACUCUGCUCUUAGCCCCGCUGGGCAGGUAGAUUUGGAAAUGUUUAUUGCAUGAGAUGUGGGAUGGAAGAAAGAAACCUGAAUUGGGAAUGAAGAGGCUUGUUCCACCUUCCCUCAAUCCUGCCAGUAGCCAGCUACAGAGCUUAGGAAAAGUCUGUUUACCUCCCUGGACCUCAGCCUACCCUCUGACAAUUAAAGGGAGAUCACAGUUUUGAAGGCAUCUACCAGCUCUGACGCGCUCUGGCUAAACCAGACCAAAAAUUUUUUUUACAGCCAUUUUUGAAAAGGGAGUGAGAGAAGAGAACUGCAGAAGCUUAAAGAAGCACCAUUUGCAAAGUUUUUUUUUGUUCUGUUUCCAACAAUCUUACUUAUUCGCAGCACAGAUUCUGUUAGGCUUAGACUUGUGUUUCGGUGGCACUGGAUUGAUAGACUCAUACUAAUUGGUGUGGGUGUCUCAAUUUUCUCCGUCCAACUUUGCUGGGGUCUCGCCUUCUCUCUAUGGAAGCUCUUCUCAGGCUCACAAGAGCUGAGAUUUCUCAGAGGCGCCUGUAGAUGGAUUUGCCUUUUUUCUGCUAUAUCCAUCUGAAGCCACAGCAACUCUCUCUGAGCCAAAACCACUCACUAAUUAAUACAUUUCACAGGGUGAAUGAAGCACUGGCACGACCAGCAGCUUGGGGCAGCUCCCAAAGCCAUGGCCUUGCCCAGUGCCCAGAAAGUCCUGCCUGGAGACGGCCAGUGCCAGUUUCCUCCAUGCCAGCACCUCACCCUUCUCAUUUGAACCCAGAAAUGUGUUGACUUCCAGUGCCCCCUACCACCCUAGCUGUGUCAUUUUCUCCUUCACCUGUUUGCAUUUCCAAGGAAGCACAAGUCACAGUCAUAGGGGCUCGUGAUCUAUUUUUUAUUCUCCCCUUUUCUGGGCAGAAUGAUGGAUCAACUCUGGAAAACCUAUUAGGAAAGGGCUGGGCCAUCCUGCGUUUCCGCCAGGCCUGUCCAGGUGACUUUGAGUCAACCCACUGAGAGCUACUUGGCCACAGGCCAUCUCUGUGGGGCACCAUGUUUAUUUGAACCACUGACCCUGGCCCUAGAAGAAAAGAUGAAGACUUAGUGAUACCCCUUCUCCCCAUCUAUCCCCACCAGGGGCUUUUUGGAGUGUCUUUAAUUUACAGUCUGUUGGAAAGCACUCAGAAUCACUCUACCCUACACUCAAGGCAGGACCCUUCAUCAUCCAUCUGCGCCAGGCCAGCCUGCAGGCAUAUAUCCCUGAACUUCCCAGUGAGGUUCUGAAAGAACUGGGAAACUGAGGAAGAGAUUGGAAAUAGAGGAGGCCCCAGUGAUGGCUGUUUGUAUCAAUCAUCACAUUGAUUUGCUUAGGGAAGUCUUAUUCUAACAUUACACUGGUUGGUGAUCAGGCCUCCAGGCCCACUGGACUCCUAAGAUAAGGCUCCAGCUCCACAGAGUUGGAAGACAAAAUUGUCCGCUCCCUCCUUGCAUUCACCCAGCCCGGGGUCUUAUCUGGCAGAUGAUUGCUUGUUGCUCCAGCUUUCUCUGUCCUAACCUCUACAACCAUAGUCACCAAUGAUUUACUUAUUCUUAGACCCAGCCAUAACCUCACAUUUUCCAUGAAUCAGCUAGCCCCCUAUGGUUUCCUGCAAUGUUUCCUUUAUUUUCUAUUUCCUUAUGACAUUCUUUAAAUGAAUCUCCUUCUAUAAUUACCAUUUGACCCCUGGGCUUUUACUCUCCACAUUGCUACAAAAAAAAAAAAAAAAAAAAAAGUCCAGUUCUUUUUGCAAGACGCCAUUCCUUAUAUAUCUUUCCAUCUUCCAUAAUGCCUACAACAAGGGUGACCACAUCAUAAAUUAUUGGUAAAGAUUUCCUGGUUAUGCCAAGACAGAAAUCUAGCCUGCUUGGUAGUUACAUUUCUUUAGGCAAAAUAACAAAUUGACUUUCUGCUUUGAAUUAGGCAUAUUUAUGUCAACAGGAGGCCAAAUCACUGCUGGGUGAGUGACCCACUGCUAGGAAGAUGCCCAGACGCCAACUGGGAAAAGCUUGGCCAAGCCAAUCAGGUGCUGCCAGAGCCUUCUUUGUGAUAGCAAUGCCAACCCAUGAACUAAUACCCUCCUUUGGGAGAGAUGCUGACACGCCAAGGAAACUAAUGUUUUUAUCUCAGCUGACUCAUUUGCUGAGAACAACAGGUUUAUAAGGCAACUCUUAGCUUGACCCACUC